AGGGNGCAGCCUGACCAGCCAUGCCGCGNNGCAGGAUGACGGUCCUAUGGAUUGUAAACUGCUUUUAUACGAGAAGAAACACUCCUUCGUGAAGGAGCUUGACGGUAUCGUAAGAAUAAGGAUCGGCUAACUCCGUGCCAGCAGCCGCGGUAAUACGGAGGAUCCAAGCGUUAUCCGGAAUCAUUGGGUUUAAAGGGUCCGUAGGCGGUUAGAUAAGUCAGUGGUGAAAGCCCAUCGCUCAACGGUGGAACGGCCAUUGAUACUGUUUAACUUGAAUUAUUAGGAAGUAACUAGAAUAUGUAGUGUAGCGGUGAAAUGCUUAGAGAUUACAUGGAAUACCAAUUGCGAAGGCAGGUUACUACUAAUGGAUUGACGCUGAUGGACGAAAGCGUGGGUAGCGAACAGGAUUAGAUACCCUGGUAGUCCACGCCGUAAACGAUGGAUACUAGCUGUUGGGAGCAAUCUCAGUGGCUAAGCGAAAGUGAUAAGUAUCCCACCUGGGGAGUACGUUCGCAAGAAUGAAACUCAAAGGAAUUGACGGGGGCCCGCACAAGCGGUGGAGCAUGUGGUUUAAUUCGAUGAUACGCGAGGAACCUUACCAAGGCUUAAAUGUAGUUUGACCGAUUAGGAAACUAGUCUUUCGCAAGACAAAUUACAAGGUGCUGCAUGGUUGUCGUCAGCUCGUGCCGUGAGGUGUCAGGUUAAGUCCUAUAACGAGCGCAACCCCUGUUGUUAGUUGCCAGCGAGUCAAGUCGGGAACUCUAACAAGACUGCCAGUGCAAACUGUGAGGAAGGUGGGGGAUGACGUCAAAUCAUCACGGCCCUUACGCCUUGGGCUACACACGUGCUACAAUGGACGGUACAGAGAGCAGCCNCUACGUGAGUAGGAGCGAAUCUAUAAACCCGUUCUCAGUUCGGAUCGA
rnacentral:rRNA from 1 species